GUGCUGCUCCAUAGCAGCACAUAUGCUAAAACUGGAACGACACAGAGAAGAUUAGCAUGGCCCCUCUGCAAGGGUGACACGCAGAUUUAUAAAGCAUUCUGUAUUUUU